rnacentral:tRNA from 1 species
GCCGGCAUGUCGGAAUGGCAGACGAUGCAGACUCAAAAUCUGUUGUCCGUGAGGACGUGCGGGUUCAAGUCCCGCUGCCGGCA